GGGCAUACCUUUAGACCUUGCCUGACUGUGGUCAUGGCCAGGCAGAGGGGACUGGCAAAGGCAGUAUUCUUACAUACUAUUGUAUGUAAGAAUAAUUUGAAAUUCCUGCCAGUUUUAGCCAGUAAUCAGUGGCUGGAUAAAUUGCAGGACUCUAACAUUC